rnacentral:rRNA from 1 species
GAGGCAGCCUUCUGGCAUCAUAUUGACACUGAGGUUCGAAAGCGUGGGUAGCAAACCGGUAUUAGAUACCCUGGUAGUCCACGCCGUAAACGAUGUCUACUAGUCGUUGGGUCCCUUGAGGACUUAGUGACGCAGCUAACGCAAUAAGUAGACCGCCUGGGGAGUACGGCCGCAAGGUUAAAACUCAAAUGAAUUGACGGGGGCCCGCACAAGCGGUGGAGCAUGUGGUUUAAUUCGAUGCAACGCGAAGAACCUUACCUGGUCUUGACAUAUCUAGAAUCCUGCAGAGAUGCGGGAGUGCCUUCGGGAAUUAGAAUACAGGUGCUGCAUGGCUGUCGUCAGCUCGUGUCGUGAGAUGUUGGGUUAAGUCCCGCAACGAGCGCAACCCUUGUCCUUAGUUACCAGCGGGUUAAGCCGGGAACUCUAAGGAUACUGCCAGUGACAAACUGGAGGAAGGCGGGGACGACGUCAAGUCAUCAUGGCCCUUACGACCAGGGCUACACACGUGCUACAAUGGUAGGUACAGAGGGCAGCUACACAGCGAUGUGAUGCGAAUCUCAAAAAGCCUAUCGUAGUCCAGAUUGGAGUCUGCAACUCGACUCCAUGAAGUAGGAAUCGCUAGUAAUCGCGGAUCAGAAUGCCGCGGUGAAUACGUUCCCGGGCCUUGUACACACCGCCCGUCACACCAUGGGAGUUGAUUGCACCAGAAGUGGAUAGCCUAACCUUCGGGAAAGGCGUUCACCCACGGUGUGGUUGAUGACUGGGGUGAAGUCGUAACCAAGG